rnacentral:rRNA from 1 species
CCCCAGACUCCUACGGGAGGCAGCAGUGGGGAAUAUUGCACAAUGGGGGAAACCCUGAUGCAGCGACGCCGCGUGAGUGAAGAAGUAUUUCGGUAUGUAAAGCUCUAUCAGCAGGGAAGAAAAUGACGGUACCUGACUAAGAAGCCCCGGCUAACUACGUGCCAGCAGCCGCGGUAAUACGUAGGGGGCAAGCGUUAUCCGGAUUUACUGGGUGUAAAGGGAGCGUAGACGGCAUGGCAAGUCAGAUGUGAAAGCCCGGGGCUCAACCCCGGGACUGCAUUUGAAACUGUCAGGCUGGAGUGCAGGAGAGGUAAGUGGAAUUCCUAGUGUAGCGGUGAAAUGCGUAGAUAUUAGGAGGAACACCAGUGGCGAAGGCGGCUUACUGGACUGUAACUGACGUUGAGGCUCGAAAGCGUGGGGAGCAAACAGGAUUAGAUACCCCUGUAC